AAUAGAUACCCCGGUAGUCCUAGCCGUAAACGGUGAGCACUAGGUGUAGGAGGCAUCGACCCCUCCUGUGCCGCAGCUAACGCAUUAAGUGCUCCGCCUGGGGAGUACGACCGCAAGGUUGAAACUCAAAGGAAUUGACGGGGGCCCGCACAAGCGGUGGAGCAUGUGGUUUAAUUCGAUGCAACGCGAAGAACCUUACCCAGAUUUGACAUGCACUGGACCGGUGUGGAAACACACCUUCCCUUCGGGGCUGGUGCACAGGUGCUGCAUGGCUGUCGUCAGCUCGUGUCGUGAGAUGUUGGGUUAAGUCCCGCAACGAGCGCAACCCUUGUCCUUAGUUGCCAGCAGGUAAAGCUGGGCACUCUAGGGAGACUGCCGUCGAUAAAGCGGAGGAAGGUGGGGAUGACGUCAAGUCCUCAUGGUCCUUACAUCUGGGGCUACACACGUGCUACAAUGGCUGGUACAAAGGGUCGCAAUACCGCGAGGUGAGCCAAUCCAAAAACCAGCCUCAGUUCGGAUUGC
rnacentral:rRNA from 1 species